rnacentral:rRNA from 1 species
UAAGGAAUAUUGCUCAAUGGGAGAAAUCCUGAAGCAGCAACGCCGCGUGGAGGAUGAAGGGUCUAUGACUUGUAAACUCCUGUAAAGAAGGAAAAAAUUCCCAUUUGAUGGGAGAUGAUGGUACUUCUGGAGUAAGCCCCGGCUAACUACGUGCCAGCAGCCGCGGUAAUACGUAGGGGGCAAGCGUUGUCCGGAUUUACUGGGUGUAAAGGGUGCUCAGGCGGAUUUGUAAGUCAGAGGUGAAAUCUUACAGCUUAACCGUGAAACUGCCUUUGAUACUGCAAGCCUAGAGUAUGGAAGAGAGUGAUGGAAUAUCUGGUGUAGCAGUGAAAUGCGUAGAUAACAGAUAGAACACCAAUGGCGAAGGCAGUCACUUGGUCCAUUACUGACGCUAAAGCACGAAAGCGUGGUUAGCAAACA